GGUAUUGAAGUAGUAUUAGUUUUCUUCUGUUCAUUGACAGUGUGUUUAAUUUUAAAUUUAAAUUUUACAUUUUAAUGAAAAAAAGUUAAUUUCAUGUAAUAAAAACUGUGAUAUGAACUCAAAAACUGCAAUUGAUUAACCAUUAUUUAAACUGAAUAAAUAAUGAAUAACUGAAUCCCUCACACACACCGAAAAAAACCACGCGCUUUUAUUUUGACACGCGCCCAUCCCCCCACAUCUCACGGUCGGAGUCAGUUUCACAGAGCAGCGCAGGAGGACGACAGACACAUAAAGAACAUUAACAGUUUAGGGCAAACGUUUCCCGCGCAAGUUUGAAUCUCUCUGUCAGUCAGUCAGGGGGGAGAUUAACUGACUGACUGACUGUCUACACGCCACCAAACAGUCAGUUAUACAGAAACCUUUUUAAGUUUAGUUUGAAUCUCUCUCAGUCAGUCAGGAGGAGAUUAACUGACUGACUGUCUACACGCCACCAAACAGUCAGUUAUACAGAAACCUUUUUAAGAUAAGUAUGAACGUGCCCAGAGCAGUUUUCGAUCUUUACCACUAAGGAGGCUGACUGACUAUCCUCUACCACCCGUCAUUAACACAAGAAAAACUAAAGUAAUGUUACUCCAUAUGGACCUAUUCAUUUACUCAUUAUGCUGUGAGUACACCACAGUUUUAUCAAGGAAAAAAUUAUAUUUGUGUGUUUCUCACUGCUUGACAAGGACAGAUGUGGCCCUGUUAAAAAUGUUUAAAUGUUGUUUGGUUUAAGGAACAGCACACUGAUUUUGUUUUAAAAUAUUCCUGUUUGGACAGUCUGUUAAAGCCAUAAAGGAAUACUUGAUAUAUUUCAUAAGUAAAGUGUAAUGUAAUAUUAGUUUUUAAUGUUGUGAAUUUGGACUGAACAGCACACUUCUGUUUUAUAUCUAAACCUUUUGUAAAAUAAAUGAUUGUUCAAUAAACUGUGUAUUUUAUCUUUUCUGUUAUCAUUUUUUUAUACUAAUGUUUAAAAUGUACCUUUACU